AUGGUACCGUCAUUUAUUUUUGGCAUAGAAAUUACAUUAUUUCUAAAGAAAGAGAUUUAGCUUGUUGAGCAAAUAAUUAAUUUUCAUUGAAUAUUUUUGAUCAACCAAUAAAAUAUACUUCAUAUUUAAAUCAAUAUUUUUAUUGGAAAAUCACUUUUCACAAAUACGAAUAUGCGGUCGAAAACUGAAAGCCAUCAGAAUUCAAGAUGGUUCAGACAAAAACCAGUGCUAGCGCUAAAAAAAGACUAAAAAAACAAGAGAUGCAAGGUACAGGUGUAAUAAAAGGGAAAGGAUACUAGACAUUGGUAUUCAUUGUGAACGAUGGAGAAGAGUUAAAGAAGCUACUGGGAUUGAAAAGGACGAUAAAAUGAUGGAAAUAUUGAUCGAUGCAACUACUUCUGAACUAGAGAGCUUCAACAUUUAUAUUUUGAUGUAUGCUCCAAAGAGAAAUGCUUUCAGCUAUGCUGUUUAUAGAUGCAGGUGUCAGUUAGCAGCAAUAGAUUAUUCAAAACACUUGAAUCGUCCUGUUUUGUUGGACAAAGAAGGAAAUUAGAGGGGAAAGAGUGCACUCAAAAGCUGCUGGUAAUUGGAGCACAAGACCUAUGAAAAAACCCAAGGAGUAUACAUACAUAACCGGUUUGAUCACUGAAGUUACAAAUGAAUUCACCAUAGGCAAGAAAAGAAUAAGUGGCAAAUGUGAACAGCUGUCUUGACCCCAAAAGAAUUAGGUCAACUAUAGUCCUUGUCACACCUCCACCUUCAUCGAUACUUAGUGAUCAGCAUGUCUCUAGAUUGAGAAAAGCGAAAAAAAAGAAUUGUUGCCCAAGACGUGUUUGAUGUUCAUUUGAAGUUGACGCAGAAGUUAUCUUUGUUAGAUAACUAUUAAGUUUCACAUCUUUAGUGUUAAUAUAAUUUUAGAAGUGUUUUGAAAAUGUACAAUCUUACAUAAUGUUAUAAAUAAUGAAUGCUCUUGGUUGUACAAUGCAAUGACAUUUUUCAGGAAGUUUUAAUAUUGAAUUUAGCAUGAAAUAUUUUUAUGUCCCCCACUAUAGUAGAGGGGGACAUAUUGUUUUUGCCCUGUCUGUUGGUCUGUCUGUCUGUCUGUUUGCGCCAACUUUAACAUUUUGCAAUAACUUUUGCCAUAUUGAAGAUAGCAACUUGAUAUUUGGCAUGCAUAUGUAUCUCAUGGAGCUGCACAUUUUGAGUGGUGAAAGAUCAAGGUCAAGGUCAUCCUUCAAGGUCAAAGGUCAAAUAAAUGGGUCAAAAUCGCUAAUUUAAUGUACACUUUUGCAGUAUUUUAAUUUUCAAGAUAGCAACUUGAUAUUUGGCAUGCAUGUGUAUCUCAUGGAGCUGCACAUUUUGAGUGGUGAAAGGUCAAGGUCAUCCUUCAAGGUCAGAGGUCAAAUAUAUGUGGCCAAAAUCGCUUAUUUUAUGAAUACUUUUGCAAUAUUGAAGAUAGCAACUUGAUAUUUGGCAUGCAUGUGUAUCUCAUGGAGCUGCACAUUUUGAGUGGUGAAAGGUCAAGGUCAGAGGUCAAAUAUAUUUGGCCCAAAUCGGUUAUUUUAUGAAUACUUUUGCAAUAUGGAAGAUAGCAACUUGAUAUUUGGCAUGCAUGUGUAUCUCAUUGAGCUGCACAUUUUGAGUGGUGAAAGGUCAAGGUCAUCCUUCAAGGUCAAGUAUAUGGGUCAAAAUUGCGCAUGUAAGGUCUCUUCUGCAAUAUUGAAGCUAGCAAUUUUAUAUUUGAAAUGCAUGUGUAUCUCAAGGAGCUGCACAUUUUGAGUGGUGAAGGGUCAAGGUCAAGGUCAUCCUACGAGGUCAACAUCAUAUACGGGGACAUUGUGUUUCUCAAACACAUCUUGUUUUAUUUUUAAUAUAUUUUGUGCGAUUUUUAUCAAUACAUUUUUACACAUAUAAAGAACACAAUUUUUCUUACAAAAAGUUUCGUUUUUUGUUUGAUUAUCGAUACGUGUUUUUCAUUGUUUUCUUUAUAGCCUGUAUUUAAUAAACCAUUGUAGUCAA